CGACUCGUUCUCACACGCCCAUGCCUCCAUCUGACCUUAGUGCCACACGACUAGUUAGACGUGCUGACCUAGCACAUUAAACCACCGGCCCAGUUAUUCCAUUGUCAACAGAAAAUCUAGGGUUCCUCCUCACGCCGCCUUUCUCCCUCUUCCUCUGUCCCUUGCUGCACUGAUGGGAACCAGCCAGUGAAGCUCGAUUUCUCGCAAGAGAAGCUCAAUCCGUCGCCGAAAUCAGUCAAUUUGUCGUUGGAGGUUGAGUCCUCGUCGGGGAGGAUGAAUCCUCACUGUGGAGGUUAAAUCCUCGCCGGGGAGGUUGAUUUCUCGCCUGCGAGACGGGAUUCCUCACCGGAGAAGGCUGAUUUCUCACCACAGCUCCCUCCCCUGGUCGGAGGGCCGCCGCACUGGAGAAGAAGGAUGGCUGCUGUCAGCCUCUCACCGCCAGAUCCAAACCACCACCGCAGAUCCCUUCGCCGUCCGGAGCUGAUCUGUCUCCUUCCAAGCCGCGGGCAGUGGAAGAGCCAAUGCAGUCCACGGGCUGAAUGCUGCUUGUGCGAUUUCUCUAAAUGACGAUGGCACCAGUGGGAGGAAGAGAAGGGGCUCAUUGGCUAUUGAAGCAAGCUUCAAUCAGGAAACUCACAGCAAGCUUUGCUGCUCUGAUUGCUAGGAUGUUCUAUACUGCAGGCAUUCCUUUUUAAUCUUGCAGAGCUAGAGGCCUUGCUUAGAUAAUAUUGGGGCGUUUGGACACUGGAGUUGGAGAACCAAUAGACUUCUAGUAUAAAAAUCACUAAUCUCUCUAUAUAUACGGUGGCGCUAAACC